rnacentral:sRNA from 1 species
UGUCCGUGACCCUGUCCCAGAUGGUCUGACAGGACUGGAGAACCAUGGACUCUUGUUCACCUGCCCAGUCUUUCUAUUGUGUUCUUGCCGUGGUUUGGAACUUGAACGGCUCCCAGAGCCCCACAGACUGAAGCUUGGUUACCAGGCUGUGUUGUGAUUGGGAGGUCAUGUGACGUUCAGGAGAGGAGUCGUCGAGUGUGGAGCAGUUUAGGUCAUCAGGGCAUGCCCUUGAAGAAGUCUUUGGAUCCUGGUCCCCUUCUCGGUUUUCUUUGCCUCCUGGUUUCCACAAGGCAUGGCCCACUACCAACGAGAUGAACCACAGUCUACUAAGGUCUUCUAAGCUCCCUCUGCCUCCCCUUCUCUAUCACAUCAAGUGGACCACAUUCCCCUUGGGAUUUUAGAGUGGCCCCAAGCAUCUUGAAAGUCCACAGUGUUCUUGCAGCCACACUCAGUGGCUCAUUUGGAAAGGGUUUGCUUUGGAUUAGAGACCUCACGGACGCCGUGCGUUUACCUUCGACGUUCUCUGUUUGACUGGACUCGCCUGCUGAGUAACGGAGGCUUGUAGACUCGCACCAGUGUCUGCAUCGGGGCAGCCAUAGAAACUUCACCAGGUGUGGCUAGUUUAUGGACAGGUGUGGACAGGUUUAUGAAGUAGUAGGGCUUGGAAGAAGACUUCAGAGUUUGAGAAGAUAUGUACCUUUCGAAGCUGACCACUUUCCAUGUCCUUGCUGAAGUGUGUGUGUGUGUGUGUGUACACAAAGACCAGAGAGAGGGUCACAUGUGCUGGAUCUGAAGUUGUAGGUGGUUGUGAUCCGCCAGAGUGGAAGUUGAGAAAUAAACCCAAGUCCUCUGCAGAGUACCAAGUGCUCUAACCAUUGAGAUCUACCUGCAACUCCCAAAAACAAAUUCUCAAAGAGGGCGUCUCACCCUCUGUGGAUUCUGGAAUUGCUAUGCGGGUGAUUUUGCUCCUUCGUGGAUGUCCUUCCCCAAGCUGGAGAGUGUGGAUCCACAUCCUUAUCAACGGAGACAAGACACCUUGUGAACAGGUUUUCCCAUUUCAGGACCCUGCACAUGCUAGAGAGUGGUCCACAGAGUCUGCUCCAGCAGAAGAGUCCUGAGUUGCCCAAGCUCUGGGUUUUCUGAUGAGGUGACUUGGAACGGGGUUGGAUGUGUGGUUUGGUCCCAGUAGACGGCAACAGCUGUAUUUGGCUCUGGCUUGAGAAUGAUGGGCACAGGAAAGUCCACGACCAAAGCAAUGACGCUGGCAGUACUAGCGGAAUGCAGAAGGGCAGAGUGGGGAAGGAUGCUAAGAUCCUACAAAUAAAGCUCUCCCAUUAAGGAACUGCCUCGAGUCCCUGGAUUCUCUUCUCCAUAUUCAGGCUGAAUCACUCUGUCUUCUUCCUAGGGUUUUUAGUAUACCUUCCAGGACUGUGUAUUACUUCACCUGCCAAGGCAAGCUCGGGCUUGGUAUCAGGAUUCCUGAAUGUUAACAAGCAGAUACGAGAUCUCAGGAAAAACACAGCAAUAAAAAAGCAUUUAUUAAGGCAACUAAA